rnacentral:rRNA from 1 species
GACGAACGCUGGCGGCGUGCCUAAUACAUGCAAGUCGAACGCAGUGGGGACGGUGGAGUAACACGUGGCUAACCUCCCAUCAAAGGGGAUAACACUUGGAAACAGGUGCUAAACCGAUACUGAUGUAUGUACCCGCGGUGCAUUAGCUAGUUGGUGAGGUAACGGCUCACCAAGGCCACGAUGCAUAGCGGAGCUGAGAGGGUGAUCGGCCACACUGGGACUGAGACACGGCCCAGACUCCUACGGGAGGCAGCAGUAGGGAAUAUUGGGCAAUGGGCGAAAGCCUGACAGAGCCACGCCGCGUGAAUGAAGAAGGUUUUCGGAUCGUAAAACUCUGUUGUUAGAGAAGCGGUAUCUACAGAGAAAGCCCCGGCUAACUACGUGCCAGCAGCCGCGGUAAUAC